rnacentral:rRNA from 1 species
AAAACGCUCGUAGUUGGGUUUCUGUUGGGAGCACUGGUCUGCCAAGUGGCGAGAACUUGUUCUGUUCCUGGCAUCUUCUUGGGGAACAAGCGCGCACUUCAUUGUGUGGCUCGGAAACCAGGACGUUUACUUCGAGGAAAUGAGAGUGCUUCAAGCGGGUGACCGCCACGAAUACGUUAGCAUGGAAUAAUAGCAUUGGACCUCGGAUCAUAGCUGUUGGUUGCUAGACCUGGGGUGAGGGUAAACAGGGACAGUUGGGGGCAUUCGUAUUUAACUGUCAGAGGUGAAAUUCUUGGAUUU